AUUGAACGCUGGCGGCAGGCCUAACACAUGCAAGUCGAGCGAGCGGCGGACGGGUGAGUAAUGACUAGGAAUAUGCCUGGUAGAGGGGGAUAACGUCCGGAAACGGGCGCUAAUACAGCCUACUAUCCGUUGAGCCUAGAGCGUGUUAGCUAGUUGGUGGGGUAAAGGCGCAACUAGGCGACGAUCCCUAGCUGGUCUGAGAGGAUGACCAGCAACACUGGAACUGAGACACGGUCCAGACUCCUACGGGAGGCAGCAGUGGGGAAUAUUGCACAAGGGGCGCAAGCCUGAUGCAGCCAUGCCGCGUGUAUGAAGAAGGCCUUCGGGUUGUAAAGUACUUUCAGCGGGGAGGCGUUACCCGCAGAAGAAGCACCGGCUAACUCCGUGCCAGCAGCCGCGGUAAUUC
rnacentral:rRNA from 1 species